AGGUACCGUGAGCAGGUGUGGAGCUGAAGCUUGGAGAGAGCAGCUGCCAAAGCGGACCGUGGGGAACGUGUUGACAUCUGAGGUGCUGAUGCAUUUUUUCUGUCAAGGAUGGAUUUUGUCCAUUUGUCUUCAGAAAGCUAAGUGUUGGGAGCAGUGGUUGGGAGAAGGGAAAGGCCUUUGGAGUUCCAGGAGGCAAUUGGAAGUUAGCUUAGAGGAGAGGGCUGUUGUGGGAGGGUCCCUUGGAAGUAAAGGGAGAGGGUUUCUCCUCAGCAUCACCUGAGCCUUUGCUGGGCAGGGCAGUUCCCACCCAUCUCUGUCAUCGGCCUUUGAGUCUCGACAUCAUCGUGGAUCUUUUUGCCCGAGGAGCUCGCCUUCGGAUCUGGCACGAUCGCCACGGUCUCCAUUUUACCUACUCGCUGGCGUAGCCGCCUGCGGGCAUCUUGGCCACUUGCUGGAUGGUCAAAGAGCCUGUUGGAGUGCUGGCCUGGAUUUGGGAGGAGCCAAGUAGCCUGGAGCAGUGAGGUUUUUCCUGUCAGAAAUCCAUGCUGGGGAUGUUUUCCCUGGCUGUCCCAAGGGGAAGGAACAGCUCUGGAGUUUUUGCAGCCACAGGCUGGGGAUGCAUCCCCUGAAAACCAGUUCAGGAUCGGUCAUCUGACUCUGUCCCUGACCUGUGGCUUCCAGGGAGCCUUCUGGUCGUCUGGAUAUUCCCAGGAGAGGAUAUUUCACCACCUGACUUUUAAGCCAGGAAUUCCAAACCCACACCGUUCCAGGGGAAAGCUGGUGAAAGGAUAAAGAUGCAGAGGAACAAGUGUUGUAAACCCCCCUGCCUCCCUGACAAAGCAAACCUUUCUGCAAUCCCAGUAAAUCUCUUGGAGAAGCUGUGGGAUCAUAAGGUUUCCUAGGAAAGGAAAACUAAGGACAGAGAUGAGGAAAGAGGCUUCCAAUUAACAAUGAUUUGAUGGAGGAUGAGGAAGCCAGGCCUGCUGAGGAGGAAGAUGAGGAAGUGUGUGAGGAUGGAGACAGCGGCCACCAAAGGCUGGGGAAGGCACAGAUCCAGGUAGGAGACGUUGCCUUGCGAGGAGAGGGACUUGUCUGUCCCGUUGGAAUUUGGGGCGUGAGGCCAGUGGAACAAAGGGUUUGAUUCCAUUUUCUUGCUCAGA